rnacentral:rRNA from 1 species
GACGAACGCUGGCGGCGUGCUUAACACAUGCCAGUCGAACGGAAAGGCCCUGCUUUUGUGGGGUGCUCGAGUGGCGAACGGGUGAGUAACACGUGAGUAACCUGCCCUUGACUUUGGGAUAACUUCAGGAAACUGGGGCUAAUACCGGAUAGGAGCUCCUGCUGCAUGGUGGGGGUUGGAAAGUUUCGGCGGUUGGGGAUGGACUCGCGGCUUAUCAGCUUGUUGGUGGGGUAGUGGCUUACCAAGGCUUUGACGGGUAGCCGGCCUGAGAGGGUGACCGGCCCCAUGGGUGGUGAGGACGGCCAAACGUCGUGCGGGGGGGAAGGGGGGGGAAAGCUAUCAGAAUGCGGGACUGCGUCCCGCAGGACGGCCGAGGGGGGGAUGGGGGGCUGAGGGUUUCAAGCGUUUUUGCCAUGUGGGGGGGAGGGAGGGAGGGGAAUGGAAAAGGAAGCACCGGAAAACCAGGGGCGAGAAGGCGGGGAAAAGACGAAGAGCAAACGUAUGAGU